AGGAACAACUUGUUUCUUUGUGAAAGAAAUCUGGGACUAUGGCUAUCCCUCUGGACUUUGUAUAAAGGACACAGAUCAAAUACAGUCAAGCGGCAGUUGGGGAAACUUGUCUAUUCUGGAAUUUUCCGGCAACUGUCUGGAUCCAGCUGCUCAGUUUCGUUUUCGUGAUAAUGGUGCCAUGUUAAAUCUAAAAAAACAGGGAUGUCUCGCUGCUUUUAAUAAGAAUGGUUCCGGAUAUGACCAUGAUAUGUUUUAUCUUUACGUUGACUCAGUCAGUUUAGAUACAGCUGCUUGUGCUCAGAAGCCUAACGAAAGUAUCUAUCGUGCUAUAACCCAGUCCCCUGAAGGAAAGCUAUCUGUUUAUUAUAAAGGGAAAGAUAAGAGCUCAUUUGAAACCUGGUUUGCACAUUCUUCACCUAGUGACGAACUUGAUAAAAAUUAUGGAUUAAAGCGCUAUAUCGUAUUGAGGACAUAUGGUGGUUUUGGUCACAGAUAUAUUUUUGGUAAGUUUUUGUUAACAAUCUUUCUAAUUUUUGAAGGCUUUAUUUCUCAUUGAGCGCCUUACAAUCUUUUCCUCUCGCAAACCAAACAUUCUCCAAACUCUUUUACACAAUCUACACGAAAUAAGGUAGAUUAUGAAUAUAUAUAUAUAUAUAUAUAUAUAUAUAUAUAUAUAUAUAUAUAUAUAUAUAUAUAUAUAUAUAUAUAUAUAUAUGUAAUAUCAUAUAAUAUAAUAUAAUUAUAUAAUGUGGAUAAUGGAUAUAUAAUUCUUUACAAUCUACGAAAUAAUGUAGAUUGAAUAUAUAUAUAUAUAUAUAUAUAUAUAUGUAUAUAUAUAUAUAUAUAUAUAUAUAUGUAAUAUGUUAUGUAAAUAAUAAUAAAUUAUAUUAUAAUUUAGUGCCUACUAAUUCUAACAAUAUACAUAGACAAGUAUGGUUUAUAAACCAAAAUGCGAGCUUAUGAUAUUAAGGGGGUCAUGCAUUAAAAUUGUAGUCGCAUAUUCAAACUGAAUAAGAGCGGCCUUAGAUCUACAUGCCGCUCGAGACUGGUGAUCUAUCUUAUUUUGUGAGAAAAAUUAACUUACCAACUUAUAAUGAGAAUUUCACAAAUACCAUCCAGUAAUUGUGCGCAUGUUUAUAAAUUUGUGUAGCAAUGUACGAGACAUAUUUUUCUUAGAAAUUUAUAAAUUAUGUAAAAUUUCUUUCUAACUAACUCAAACUAAAUUAACGAGAAUCUAAUCGAUAUCAUUGACUUCCGGUAAUACCUCCACAAAUCCUCCCCCCCCCCCCUCCAAUCAUCACUCUUUACUUACUGUAAUUAUCUCAUAGCGCUUUUAUAUCACAUAUACAAGCUCUUUUGCGGUUAUGAUAUCGGUUUCUAUAUCUUAUAUUUGUAAAUCCCCAUCCAAACUAAAAGAGAAAUUAAACGACAUCCUUCGCCCGCGACUAUUGGCUUUAUAGAUUUCUCUCUUUCCCCAUUACAAAUUAAAUACAAACGCACACCACCAAGUGAAAACAUCACCUUGACCUAGGUAAUUAUCUCAUAUUGACAUUGCGCUUACCGACUAACGGUUAAAAAUACCUUUUUUUAAAUAUUAUAACCUGGCAAUGUUUACAAAAAAACAUUUGUUGUUCUUUUAAGGUUCAGUGACAUGUUAUGGUGAUAAAGUGAAGAAUGCCAACUGUCCUAAAGAUCAAUACAUGGUGGUCAAGUUUGCAUCUUACCGUGGAUUGUUUGCACCGAAGACAUGUGGUUUAAGUGAUGAUUAUAGUUGUGAAGUUGAUGUAAUAUGUCUGCUUAAGAAACAUUGUGAUGGUCUACACGAGUGCAAUAUAACUGUGGAUGACAAUUUGAUCUCUGACGAUCUAUGUCCUGGAUUGUCAAACUAUCUUUACUUUGAAUAUCAAUGUGUUGAUACUGUGAAACCUUACAAAGAACCUUGUGGUACGCAUGAGAAUUAGUAUAAUGGUUCUAUUGAUGGUAACAACUUGUAGUUUUAGUCAAUUUCUCUUAAGGAAUUUGCACAAGACAAGUUCCCAUAGUGUUUAAAAAUGUUUCGCCUCGAUUUGGCACACGUGUCAUGUCAGAGC